rnacentral:rRNA from 1 species
CAGGACGAACGCUGGCGGCGUGCUUAACACAUGCAAGUCGAACGGGGCGAAGUGAUAGCUUGCUAUUAUGGAGCCUAGUGGCAAACGGGUGAGUAACGCGUAGGCAACCUGCCCUUUAGAUGGGGACAACACCUCGAAAGGGGUGCUAAUACCGAAUGACGUUUCCUGGUCGCAUGACCUGGAAACCAAAGGCCGGGCAACCGGUCACUGAAGGAUGGGCCUGCGUCUGAUUAGCUAGUUGGUGGGGUAACGGCCCACCAAGGCGACGAUCAGUAGCCGGUCUGAGAGGAUGAACGGCCACAUUGGGACUGAGACACGGCCCAAACUCCUACGGGAGGCAGCAGUGGGGAAUCUUCCGCAAUGGGCGAAAGCCUGACGGAGCAAUGCCGCGUGAGUGAAGAAGGCCUUCGGGUUGUAAAACUCUGUCCUUAUUGAAGAGAGGUAGCAGUGUGAAUAAUGCUGUUAUAGGACGGUAAAUAAGGAGGAAGCCCCGGCUAACUACGUG